GAGCCAGCGCAGUGCCAGCCGCCAGCCAGUCAGUCAGUCAGUCGGGCUGGUGCCGCCGCCGCGUGUGCAUGUGUGUGUGCGUGUGUGUGCCGUGUUCGCCGCUCCCAUGUGCGUGUGUGUAGGAUAUUAGUGUAAAGUGACGCACACAAACACACUUUAAAAGGAAUAAGAGCAAGAGAAAGUAAGACAAGAAAGAGGAGAAAAGCAAAGUUUGUAAGCGAGUAUUUGAGUGAGUGCGUGCCAAGAAAACGUUUUAGUGUGGAAAUCAACAAGGAGAGAUUACGAGGAAUUAUAAAAAAAUAAACAAAGAAUGAAUUAAGUCGAUGAUUGCAAUUGCUGUGGAAAAUAAGAACACUAAACCAAAUAUAAUAGGGAAUAUACAAGAAACGUGACUCACAAAACAAGGAGAAAGACUAAAAAGAAAUACAUGAAAAGUUAUCAACACUCAGAAAACAUUGGAUAAGAUUGGAAGAAUAAAGAGCAAGAAAAUAACAAGUGGAAGUUGAGAAUAAAGAAAACUCGAGCGAGAAAGAAAGAACGAGAAACAAAAAAAAAAAAAUGAUGAAACAAAAACUUAGACAUGGAAACAAAUAAGUGAAACGUUGGGAAAAAAGAAAACUACAACAAGAAAGAAAAAACUGAACUGAAAGUAAAAAUAUGAAAUUCAAAAUCGACGAUAACAACAAGAAAAUAGAUUAAAAUACAACACAAAUAAAACAAAUAAAAAAAAACUCCAGAACAAAAAGCAAAACAAAAACAAUAAAAAAGAAAGAACAGAAAAGGAGAAGGAAUCAGAAAAAAACGAAUAUAGUAAAAAAGUGAAUUACAUAAACGAGAAGAAAAAGCAAAUAAAAAAACAAGAAAGAGAGAAAGAACGAAAAAAGGAGAAAACACAAUCUUUACGAAUAAAAUAAAUAAAAAAGAAGUGAAUUACGUCAACGAUAAAUUCCAAUACAUGUCGAAAUUGGAGAAGCAUAUCCGUGUGUGUGUUUUUAAUCGCCUGGACGUGAUGUAAGAAGAUAACGAACGAUAGAGAUGGUGAUAGCCGGCCCCUAAUCUGAGACCCUCCACCGGAAGAGAAGAUAAAGGAAGAUAAAGGGACGAGAAAUCACACAAGUAGUUUCCGUGUUGAAAAGAAGUGAGAAGCUCCUACAAACACAACUACCACCACUACAACAACUACUGCCAUUACUACUACUACUAUUACUACUACUACAACCACUACUGCUACUCUUACUACUACUACCACAACAACUGCCACUAUGAAGAGAAGGCGGGAAACGUGAUAGAGAGCGAGAGAGACAGACAGACGCGCCCUCUCUGCCCACCACCCCUUAACGGAGGAGGAGGAGGAGGAGGAGGGGAGGGGAGUGGCGAGGACGGCCGGGCGGGCUAUGCAUCAAAAUGGUCACAGAAGAGGGACAGAAGACAACGAAGCACACCAGUUGACCUUCCUUGCUCAGCCUCCCUCCCUCCCGCGCCCCCGAGCCUGUGGCAGCGUCGGGGCGGGGCUGGGGCGGGGCGGAGGGGCGGUGGGGCGGGGUGUUGAUGGUGGAGACGCCCCCGCCGCAGUAUGGAACCAGGGCGCCUGUCGUGUGGUGACGCCCGGAGUAACAUCCCACACAUGCAGCUGUUCCACCACCUGAAGCAGAAGUUCCCGGACCUGCGGGACAACGAUGUCAAUGAGAGCAUACAGAAGUAUGGCCUUGACCGCGAGCGUUGCGAGGAGGAACUGUCGCAGCGGACGCAGGUCCACCCUGGAGGUUACUACGGGCCGUGGGGCCGCUCCUCCCCCGCCUCUUCUCGCCUCACCUCCCCCGUGCGCGGCUCCACUCCCUCCACCCCCACCACUCCGCUGCUCGUCAACACCUCCCCCGGCGUGCUGGGCGGGGAGUACUUGGUGUACAGCGGCGGGGGCGCCGCGCCACUCUUCACCUCGCCCCCCGCCACUAGCUCGCCGGCGCUGCACCCGUCCUCCGCCGGCAGCCUGGUAAGUUACGGCUGGAACCCCACCGUGGCCAAUGGUUACCGUCCCGCCCCAAGGCAACCCCAGGACGGCCCCGCCAGGCUGGGGGAUCGGGACCGCUCCAAGUCCCGCUCCGGCACGCCUGUGGCACCCAGCUCGGCCCCGGUGGUGCCCAACUCCUUCGACCCGUUCAGCCGCGAGUCGCCGGAGCGCCGCCGCAGCGCCGACAACCACCACCACCACCACCACCACCUUCCCGAGGCGCGCUACUCCCCGCCCCCCGCACGCCCCGCCAUGGACCCGCCUGCUGGUCUGGCGGCCACGGCCACAGCCACCACCACCUUCACCACCACUACCACCAACACCACCACCUUCGCCACCCUCAUCACUACCACAGCCACCCCCACCACCACCAUCACCACCACCACUUCCACCACCAUCAACUGUACAAACCUCAGCCCAGUCGACGGUGGCAGUAACAGUAGCAGCAGUAGCAGCGGCAGCGGCGGCGGCGGCAGCAGAAGCAGCGGCCGUCCUCCUCCAGGUCGGAGACUCGUUUCGUCUGUGCACCUUAUCCCCGUCCCUCCCCACGGGGCGCAUCACGCCCCCGGGCCACCCUCCAGUGACGGCACGGUGUCGGUGUGCGGCCGCUCGUACACCUCCGUCAACCUGCAACUGAGGCAGCCGUCCUCGGAGCCGCAGCCCCCCAUUCAGAUCCGGUCGAACGGAUCUUCCCUCACGUAUUCCACUUCGUCCCUGGACCACCGCCAGGGCUCGCGCUCCUCCCUUCAGAUCUCCAUAGGGCCCACCGGAGGCACCAUCUCGGCCAUGCGCACAAACCUAGACAAUAAAAGUUCCCAGGCCAACACAGCGUUCCACAUCCAGUACAGCUCAGGCGGCGAGGAGGGACGCUCCCCCACGGGGGCGCCCUUUCCCACCACGGGGGACGUGGUAGGUUCUGAGGGGGUGACGGGGCAGGUGCGGCGACCCCAGACCUGGUACGUGACGGACUCUGUCACUUCAGAGUCCAGGCAGAGAAAGUCGUCCCUGCCGGAGUGCGUGGGGCCGCCCGUCACCCUGCACCCCUUCCACUACCCGCCCUAUACCGAGCCCGGCCUCGGCUACUCCGCGGCAGAGCCCUUGCUGGCCGCGCCGCCCGCAGGCCCUGACUCUGCCCACGCGCAAGUGCUCGUCCAGGACCAGCUGGCACGAAAACAGCGCAUGGCGAUGGAGCUGAGCAAGCAGGUGGAAGAGAAGGACCGGCUGGAGGCUGAGGUGGAGAUGAUGCUGCGGGAGUUGCAGGCGCGGGAACAGCAACGCAAACUCAACGCGGAUACCAAUACUAUGAGAAUAGAGGAGGUGCAGCAGGAGAAUCAGCGGUUGCAGUCUGAGUGUUAUGAGAUGGAGAACAGAAUACUGCGUCUCGCACCUGACUUUGAUCUUGAGGGUUACUCCACCCUGACACAACCUCAACCAGGCUACUCUGAGGGUAUGCCGCCGGUCUCACAGCCGCCACUGCUCACCAGAGGAAGUUCAGGGUCCAGCUUGGGGAGUGAGCUGGGGACGCCCAACACCCCCAACACCCCCCACACACCCGGCUACCUCCCCACCCGGCCUGCCCCCCCUCCUCCUGCACCCCCACCACCCCCACUGACCAACCAUGGCUAUGGGCAAUAUCAGGGGCGAGGAGGAGAGCGGAUGGAGGAGGCGAGUCACAAGUGGGGCUGCUCCAAGUGCACCUUCAUCAACCACCCCGACAUGAACAUGUGCGAGAUGUGCGACUUUCCACGCUUCACCAUAGGUACGGCUCCCCCCCAUGGCCAGGCAGCUACCACUGCUUCCCCCCACCACCAGGGUCCAUGCUACUGCCACCACCGCCACAGCCACCACCUCCACCAACUCCAACACAGCACAGGGUCGCAAGAAUACCGCGGCUGGGCGAUGGUGUAAGCUCUUCCCUUCUCUCGCUUCUCUCUGCCACACCAAGUGAGAGACCUACCCUAAGCCUUGAAUCCACAGUGGGAGGCAAGACAAUACUUCUCUUCCAAGUGUCCCGCUGCAAUGGGAAUCCGAAACUUCCGUCUCCUCUUCCAACACCUCCUCCUCCUACUCCUCACUCUGGGCCACCUCCUGCAAGGUCAAGAAGUGCAGCCUCCUCAGUGAUGUACGCCUGAUGAGGAACCUUACACAAGCGUCCUCCUGCACCCACUCCCCCAGACCCGUGAGGAGAGUUGUGAUGCUCCAGGAGGCCCAGACAGACAGGCAGGCCGAGGUAGUGUGAGGUGUUACGUCUGUCCCGAACUUGCUGAGAUCUUCAUCCUACUCUCUGACUUUACAAGAUCCCACAGGAUACUUUGCUCAACAUAGUGUAAAUCCAAGGCUUUAGGUAGAAUGUAUGUAUUGCAGGGAAUUUAUCAUCAUUGACUGAUAUUUAUGAUAGUUAUUAUUAUUAUUAUUAUUAUUAUUAUUAUUAUAAAAAAUAUUAAGAAAGGGUCAAGCAGCAAGAGUAUUGCCUUCAUUACUGUCAUAACGGUUCUCCCUGUGAAAGAAGUAUUUAUACAGUUUGUUAUUAUUUUGCUAAUUUUCAUAGUAGCAUUGUUCGACAUUUUUAUCACCACUGUACUGCACACAGCUCAAGAAUGGAUGGUGUUGAUGACUCAGCUAGUGGUGGUGGCUGCCUGCUGGCAUUUAUGUGUAUCAGCUGGUUGUGGUAGCUGCCAGCUGUGGUGUUAUAGCCAUCAGCUGGUGUUAGGGGCUGUUGUCUGUGGCACACUGUACUCCUCAGUACCACACGGGGAUGGGGGCAAGUGUAGCAGUCUAGCGCUGGCUGGGGCGUUGGGGCUGGGGCUGUCAGGGUUGUGUCCAUGCACAUCAGUAUGAUCAUUUUUUUUAUUUUUUUUAUUUUAUUUUUUAUUUUUUUAGAGGAUUGAUUGGGGAAAUCGAAUUUUGGGCAAGAGGUGAGAAACAAGAAUUUACCAUAUCUGCCGGUGUCAGAGACACACCCCAUUUUCAAACGCUAUAUUAUGGAAAAAAAAAAUAAUAAUAAUAUCCUCACCCUUACCAAUUUUACUAAGAUGUUUUGUGGCUGUUUCAUGACUUCUAAUACAUGUCUACCAUAUGCUACUGGACCAGCACCUCAUUGUGAUAUAUAGACCAUACAGUACACAUGUAUACCAUGUUGUAACAACAGCACUAUGUGGAAGGUGACCUGCUCACUCUGAAGGUCUGUUUGCCACUGGCGAGUCUUGGUCUUGACUAUACCAGGAAUCUAGUUUAAGUAAACCUGGUAUAGCAGCCCAGCCACUGACCAUGAUCAAAACUUGUAAAUGGAGUGUGUGGUUAAGCCUCAUACUGCCAUUAGAUUAUACUGUAUGUAUUACCGGUUUCACUUCAAUUAUUUUUACAUUAUUACACAAACGUAACAAAUCAUAGAAAUGACACUCUGGAGUUAGUGACUCCCACACCAAGACCAACACCAGAACACUAACAGUGACUGCUGUAAGUGUUUCCUUUUCAUCUCAGGAGACUGCCAAGUAGGGUCUGCUAAACAGUCACAGCUCUUCAACAACAACAACAUCUUAUCUGAUCUGUACACUUCCUAUAGGCCUAGGUUAUAAUAUUGCAACAUUCAGUGUCUGAUACACAUACUAAUUUUUGUAGUCUUAUUUUGAGAGAGAAAAAAGUGCGUCUUUGAUGCUGGCAAGUCCGAUAGUUACAUUUAUAACACAGAAAAUGAAUGGGGCAGGCAAUGCUGAGGUGAGGGUUUUUAACACUUCUUGUGUUUCUGUAACUUUUUCUGCAGGACUUUAGAGAGUUAGAGGAGCAAAGGACUGGCACAAAGAAACCCACCCAUCUGAGCCUAUCCGUACCCCUCCCCUCCCCUCCCCUCCCCUUCCUGUCACAAGAGGAAAAAUCUUUAUUACCAUUUCUCUUUCUCCAUUCUUAUUAAUAUCGUCUCCCUCCUGACAGCCAUUUGAAGUACAUAAUUUCACUGUUUCACGGGUUUUGGCAUCUCAUCCUAUGUCAAGGAAUCGUACUCUUAGCAGCAUUCCUUCUUGGAAAAUGAAUUUCCAAGAUAAUUGCCAGAUAACUGCCAGAGUAAAUAUGAAAUGCAUCUAAAAAAACAUAUUGGAAUGCAAAUCUGUAUUUUUUCUGCAUAUUUGCAUAUUUUACCUGUGUUUACAGGAAAUGAGGAUAUUAAUAUUAUUAUUUAUUAUUUAUUAUUAUUAUUAUUAUUAUUAUUAUUAUUAUUAUUAUUAUUAUUAUUAUAAUCAGUCAUUGGCUACAUUACUGACAAUGACUUAAGUUAAUGUUGCCAGUAUGUCUGGAAACAUUGUUGUCAGAAGCAGCUACAUUAGGAACUCGGAGUACUUGUGAUGGCUGCACGAGGUGUGCUUCACUGGGUGCAGCAGUGCUGUCAUGUGUCUGUUGUUCAUUUGAUCUAGAGUGUAUUAUAUGCUGUACUGUUUUGCCAUGGUUGUGAUAGUUAGGGUCUUAAAGAUUUCUUCCUGCUAGGGAAGGCACUGAUUUAUAUUGAACAAGACAUUCUGCCAAGAAUGUCAAAAGUGCAGUAAUGUCUCAUUCUGAUAAAGUUAAGGUGCAUGACGUGGCCACUGCUUGACUGAGCCCUCUGCGUGUCUGUGACACCACUAAAGGGAGUUUCAGAAGAAACAAGUACUCACUUAUUGAGCAGUGCUGAUCACUGGGUCAGAUUAGCCUCCAGUCAUUUCCCUACUUAGACCACGUGCAUGUAUCAGAAUGAGCCUUUGUUGUGCUGCCCUAAAAGCCUUGUACCCCAGCCCAGCCCAGCCCAGCCCAGCAGCUCUUACCGCCACUCCCAUGCUGCCUCACCGACACCUUUCCCACUUGACCUAAAACUGAUCAUUCCAUGGGCCAGAGUUGACCUGACUUACACAUGGCAUCUUUCAUCCUGAUAUUAAUAUAGUGUGUGCUUACACACACACACACACACACACACACACACACACACACACACACACACACACACACACAUAGAUUGGGAGACAGGACUACCGGAGCUUGAGCUCAGGCCCUGUAUACUACAAAUAGGCAAAUAGGAAAACACACACACACACACACACACACACACACACACACACACAUACCUUUUAUGAAGUACUACCAAGAACAUUGUCUUUCUUAUUUCCAUAUCAAGCACUGUAAACCUCUGGCACCACAGCACAGUUUUGUUAAGUUAGCACAAGCCAGCGCUGGCGUGUGAGAGGCCUCGUAUCACUGCUCUGUGUAGCCCAAGCUGGCCGACCAAAGAUAUGCGUCCUGAGCUUCCCUCAUGCCAGUGGGGAGCCGCCCUGAACCAUGAGUAAUGAACGACAUGUUUGACCACAAAUCUGUAGCAUGCUCUUCAUUUCUUUGCCUCACACACGCCAGCAGCCAGACGGAGACUGUUGGGAUGUUAGAUUGGCAGGACAGACAACCAGAGUGGUCCAGACACAAAGACAUAACCACAGCCUUGUGUCUCUCCUCCUGCUGGCCCUCAGAUAAUCAGCCAGCCAGUUGGUGAGGACCACUGUGUUGUUCAGUUACUUAUCUGGUCACUGUCUUAUUCGUUGCCUGGAGCCGUAGCUUCCAACUUGCUAAUGUGAAGAAGCAAGACACAAUUCAUGGAAACUUUAGGCAAUUUUGUAAAACUACAACAAGACUGUCGUUGUAUUAAACAAUACGAUAUUAAA